rnacentral:rRNA from 1 species
GACGUAGGGGGCGAGCGUUGUCCGGAUUUACUGGGCGUAAAGGGCGCGCAGGCGGCCAUUUUUGUCAGGCGUGAAAGCCCCGGGCUCAACCUGGGAGGUGCGCUUGGGACGGGAUGGCUAGAGAUCGGGAGAGGAGAGUGGAAUUCCCAGUGUAGAGGUGAAAUUCGUAGAUAUUGGGAAGAACAUCAAUGGCGAAGGCAGCUUGCUGGGCUACUCCUGACACUGAGGUACGAAAGCGUGGGGAGCGAACAGG